rnacentral:lncRNA from 1 species
CUUGCUGCCUUUCACUUCCCAGUGGAGUUCAAUAGCACAGACUAGUGUGACAAUGGAGUGCAAUAGCACAGACUAGUGUGACAAUGGAGUGCAAUAGCACAGACUAGUGUGACAAUGGAGUGCAUAGCACAGACUAGUGUGACAAUGGAGAGCAAUAGCACAGACUAGUGUGACAAUGGAGAGCAGUAUCACAGACUAGUGUGACAAUGGAGAGCAGUAUCACAGACUAGUGUGACAGUGGAGUGCAAUAGCACAGACUAGUGUGACAAUGGAGAGCAAUAGCACAGACUAGUGUGACAAUGGAGAGCAGUAUCACAGACUAGUGUGACAAUGGAGUGCAAUAGGCACAGACUAGUGUGACAAUGGAGUGCAGUAGCACAGACUAGUGUGACAAUGGAGUGCAAUAGGCACAGACUAGUGUGACAAUGGAGUGCAAUAGCACAGACUAGUGUGACAAUGGAGAGCAGAGCACAGACUAGUGUGACAAUGGAGUGCAGAGCACGGACUAGUGUGACAAUGGAGAGCAAUAGCACAGACUAGUGUGACAAUGGAGUGCAGUAGCACAGACUAGUGUGACAAUGGAGUGCAAUAGCACAGACUAGUGUGACAAUGGAGUGCAAUAGCACAGACUAGUGUGACAAUGGAGAGCAGUAUCACAGACUAGUGUGACAAUGGAGUGCAAUAGGCACAGACUAGUGUGACAAUGGAGUGCAAUAGGCACAGACUAGUGUGACAAUGGAGUGCAAUAGCACAUACUAGUGUGACAAUGGAGUGCAAUAGCACAUACUAGUGUGACAAUGGAGUGCAAUAGCACAGGCUAGUGUGACAAUGGAGUGCAAUAGCACAGACUAGUGUGACAAUGGAGAGCAGUAUCACAGACUAGUGUGACAAUGGAGUGCAAUAGGCACAGACUAGUGUGACAAUGGAGUGCAAUAGCACAGACUAGUGUGACAAUGGAGUGCAGUAGCACAGACUAGUGUGAAAAGUGGGCACUGG